UACCACAAACUUUAAAUUCCACCUCACAGUUGUGUUUCCUUAAAAUAUUCCUUCUGGGACUUGUGAAUUUCAUGUUGCUUCUCGUCAUUAGCCUAUGUUCUUGAGUUUUUUUGUCCUUUGUUGCAUAUCUUUUUUCCUGAGUAGUUUCUGGUCACCAGAUGACUUUGCUACUCAUCCCUCUCCUUGGCAACUCAUUUUAAAAAAUAGCAGCCAGAACUAAUCCCAAGGAUUAGCUCUUUAUUAUUGCAUUAUUAAUACUGUGUUUCAUUAGCUAUACUUUGUUGUUUUUCUUUUGGCCUGGCUUCUGGUCUUGACUUGAACUGUGUGAUUUUAAAUCUAUAGUUUAAUACAGUUGAAAAUGUUUACACAUAUGCUAUGUAUGUAUGUACACAUGUGUGUGUGAAAUUAUUCCAAACAAUUAUGUAUUAUAUAUGCCAGGUUUUUUAAACUGCCUUUUGUUUUUUUCAAAUAGGCCCAACAUAUCUGAAAAGUACAGUUCACCCUUCUGAAUAUGCAUUCUCACAUAUAUCUUAUAUUUGUGAGAGUUUCUCAGUCACUUUGGAAGCUGUUUGAGAAGAAAACUCUCAAAUGAAUUUUUCAGUCUUUCAUAAAGACAGGCAACUAUUUCAAAAUCAGGCAACAACCUCUAGAAUUCUAAUUUCUGCAACAAUAAUGUCAUGCUCCCCCAGACAGGCUUUCUACUGAAAUGUGCUUCACUCCCUGAAAAAGCCCCUUUAAGCCCUUGUAAGUAAUGCCUAUUUUUUCAAACAAUGUAAUAUGGGGGGUCAAAUUCCUGAUUCGUUAACUAAAAAAUUUACUGCAAUGUCACAGAUAAUAAACUCUGAAUUAUUUUUCAGUCAAUCAUGAGUAAAAUACUCCUUUUUGAAAAACUAGAAGUGGAUUUGUUUGUGUGUACGUGUGUGUGUGUGUGUGUGUUUGUUUUGGUCAUACAUGUUCAUGGCAGAAAAAUUCACAACUAAGAAGAAAAAAGAAAAUGAAAUUGCCCAUCAUCUGUAAUAUGGCUAAUGUGUUCAUCUCAUCAGUCUUCACAGUUUAGGAUUGAUGCUGACAGAUAUUGCAGGUGAGCCAGACGGCUCUCAAAAGUGGCUGAAGUAUUAAUAAAUGGUCAAACAUUAAUUUCCCAGAGAGAGUCAGAGCCUUCAAUUUGCUCCAAUCUCUCUAAUGAUAGUACUGAUAAUAAUAACACUCAUAAUUAUUAUUAUCAGUUCAGCUAACAUUUGAGUAUUUAUCAUAUUAAGCCACUAGUUAAACACUGGGCAGACAGUACCUUAUUUAAUAUUCGCAAAUGUUUUAUGAAGGAGUCAUGAUUAUUCUCCCCAUUUUGCAGGUGAAGAAACUGAAGUAAUAGCUCAAGUUCCCAUAGGUGGAAGGGGAGGCUCUUAACCUGGUGAUCUGUUUCCAAAGGCAGCUUUUACUGCCACACCAGUGGACUGCCAAACUUGAGUGGCCAUAAAAAUCACCUGGAGAACUCGUUCAAAUGCCAGAUACCCCAGCUCCAGUUCUUGACACUCUGAUUCUGUAGGUCUGGGCUGGGGCCUAGGGAUCUACAUUUUCAAAGUGGCCCAGAGGCGAUACUGAUGGAAAUGAUACACCAGCAAAGUGCACUACUACUAUUCUGCCUACAGGAAAGCAGAAACCAUGAACUCCCUUCAGAUAGCUCUCUAGUCUAGAAGGUCUUUAUCCACAGUGCUUCUUAACCUUUUUGGAGGGAUCCCGAGACCUCUGAGAAUCUGAUGAACGCUAUAGACCUUCUUGCAAUCAAAAUGCACCAAAAAUUUUUUUUGCAUUCGUUUUCAGGGAUUUAAAGCCCAUAACCCCAGAUUAGGGCUUCUAUUUUAUUUAGUCUUUCUCUAACUCUUUUUUUCUCUUAGCCUCAUUAUUCCCACUUCUGAAAUAAGGACACUAACCCUGCUGACUGCCUAUUUUGCAAGGCUAUUUUGAGGAUAAUUUUUUUUCAUACAAGGGUUUUGAGAUACAGAAAUAGAAACACUGCAUGUAAACUUCAUGCUCAUAACAGAAAUAGAGACAGAGGGAAGAAAAGAGGUGAAUAGAAGGGGCCCCUCAAGAAAAACUUAGCACUGGUUAAGAAAAUGACGAGCAAACAAGCAUGAGCAUAAUCACAACAGUCGUUUGCCAUUUGUUGAGCAUCUACCAUGUGCCAGGCAUUAUUGUUCAAGCCUUAAAAUAAUUUUUUCUAGUGUUCACAACAGCCCUUUGAUGGUAUCAUCCUUAUUAUACAAAUGAGGAAAUCUAGGCUGAGACAAACAUUAAAUAAUUUGCCCAGUAUCAAAAAGCUAGUGAAGUGACUCAAACCCAGGUCUGUCCGUGUGCAAAGCCCGUCCAAAUUUUUAUGAUGUGAGGAUAUGGCCACGGCUCCUUUCCAGACCUGAUUCCAUACACGGACCAGUCAUUGGUUUCUGAGGCCAGCCCCUGGAACAGGGAGCCUUAACCACCUCACUCUUCCAACCAUCAAUUUCCCUCCUAUGAUGAUAGUUUGCAGCACUCCAACAGGCCUUAGUUACUAUUAUCAAUCAGUUGCUUUGCAAAACAACAGAAGGCACUGGAAAUACUUAGGUUCCUGGUGGCAGGGCCACAGAAGACAAAUCAUGGCAUUAUAAAGGUUAACAUCUUUAGGCUUGCUCUGUGGCAAGUCUACUCUCGAGGCGCUUGGGACCAGCUGCAUGAAUCAUACUUCUAGAUGUCGUUCCAACUAGUAGGAAACAGCUUUUCCUUUAAAUAAAUUUCACUUUCAGAAAAGGCUUUAAAGCACAUUACAGAUAGGCCCAUGAAACAUUUGGCUACAUGUAAAUCCUUCCACAGCAAAAGGAAACCUCCUUAUGUACCAAAAAAGGGAAAACUAAGUCCAGGAAAGUCUUAGCUAUAAGGACCAAAGAGAUAUCUGGUGGAAAAGAGUGCUUCAUUCUCUUUCUGUUUCAAACCCAUAACCAUUCUUUUGAAGGACUCUUUAGUAAUAGAUUUUAAUAGCAAGAACAAUAACCCAGAAAAGUGUUAACUGAAAUGUUCGGCCCAGCAGGUCAUCUGCUCUCCUUCCCACAAGUAACCCUAUGCCAUCCUCCUCCACUGCCUCAGCCCAUCCUAAUGUCUUUUCCUAGGGCUGCUUUUCACAUCCUUGUUUUGUGGAAUAAAGCAGUAACCCAAGCUUGCCUCAGCACUAACAGAUGUUGCAAGGAAUCGCUUCAGCUUGAAUCCUGUUUCUCUGCCUUCACCCCACAACUCCUCUCCUGUCAACACCACCAGCCUUUGCAAAGAAAUUUGUAACUCCAAAGGCACUGCUUAUUUUUUUGCACCAUCUGAUGAACCUUCUUCAGCAGAGGUUUUUAAAAGGAGAGCUGGCUCCACUAAAUAUCUUAGCCUAUUGUUGGCUGGUUAGUAGAAGAAAUGUGUUACAUCAUUCAGUUGCUUUUCUUGUUGUCAAAGAUAAGAUUUUCUGAUCUGGCUCUGCUAUUUAUUAACUAACUUCAUGACUUUCAACAAAUUAUCGUAUGUCUCUGAAUCUCAAUUUUCUCCUCUAUAACACUUUCCCUUACCUCUGACAUAAGAGAUCAUGUUUUCAAACACCAUAAAAGAGGGUACAAAUAUAAUGCUUUAUUAUAACAAUUAUUGCCGUCAAUUUUAUAUUACAUGUCAUCCGGAGAUCACUGAGAUACCCAGGAGCAAUGGCUUAUUAACACAACAGACAAGACCAUCCUAAACCCAGAGAACAUUGGGAGGGCUAAAGAAACAAACUCUAGGUUCUUCUGGAAACAACUUACAAGUCACACAACAGAACCAGGCCUCCAAAGUUGCUGCCUGCUGAUUGGGAAGCUGAGCUACAAACACACCCACUGCCAUGAUAAUAGGCUUGGGCAAGCCCCGAUUGUGGCUGCCGGCUCCAGGACUCCACCAGUUGUGAGAUGAUCUGUGCCAGCAACAAGGGUGCCCUGCUCCCUGCCUUCCCACAUCCAUUCCCAGUCCACACACAUGGCUAAUGGCCAGGCAGUGGGGCCUUUGCUAAUACUGCUACAGAGAAACCACAUGCUUCCUCAACCAUCCUUGCCAGGGGAAGUGAUGCAGUUUGAAUAUUUGUUCCCACCCAAAUCUCAUGUGGAAUUCUAACCACCGAUGUUGGAGGUGGGGCCUAGUGAGAGGUGUUUGCAACAUGGGGGCAGAUCCCUCAUGAAUGGCUUGGGCCAUCCUCCCGGUGAUAAGUGAGCACUCGCUCUGAGUUCACAGUUCUGACCACUUAAAAGUGUGUGGCAUCUUCCCCACUCCCUUGGCUUGCUGCUGCUUCACCAUGUGACAUGCCUGCUCCAGCUUUGCCUUCUGCUAUGAUUGUAAGAUCCCUGAGGCCUCCCCAGAAGCUGAGCAGAUGAAAGCACCAUGCCUCCUAUAAAGUUUGCAGAACUUUAUUGCAGUGAGUCAAUUAAACCUCUUUUCUUUAUAAAUUACCCAGUCUCAGGUAUUUCUUCAUAGCAAUGCAACCACAGCACAAUACGGGAAGCAAUGCCUCUGCUUCCCUUUGCCUUCCAAAUAAGAAUGCAUCUAAACCACAUCCACAACUCUGACUGCAGAGGACUCCGGGAAAUCCAGUUUUUAGCUUUUAAACCUCUGCAUUAUAGAAAGGCCCAGCAGAAGAAGGUUGAAAUGGAUGUUGAAUGACAACCCCUCAUGCCCAUCACAUAAGUUCUUGACUAAAAGACACAUCUUUGUAAUCCCUUCUCCCCACCACCCACCAAGACACCUGGAAGGCAUAUGGGAAAACUAAGGUGACAAAUAUAGCAAGGGUUUGGUUGUACAAAUAGAUGGCACAUAGUUGGUGGAGCUGUGUACAUUAGGCUUCUCAGGAGGGUAGGUUACAACCAAGUUGAGUGAACUUCCCCUGUAUAGUAAUCAGGCAGCAAAAUUUAAGAAAAAGCAUUAUUCUUCCCCUUCCAUCCAUCAGGGGACAUGGGAUCAUUUUCCUCCCACUGGGGGUCUGAGUUCAUUAUGUGGCUUUACUAUAUGCCCUAUUCACAAGCCAAUAUAGGGUAACUUCUCUUCCAAUGAGACAAUCAGAUUACUCAUUGGGCAGGACUUCCUGGCUCAUCAAGGGCUCUAUUAGAGAGGAUAGUAGAAAAUCAUCUAUUUGUUAAUAAAUACCUAGUCAAAAUAGCUUUCUCCCUGCAAGGACAGUUGCUGUAGUAUUGAUGUUUUUAUGUAUUUCACAAUACAGUCUUGCUUUCAGUCUCAUUACUAUAAUGCUGUGUUUGUACCUUCCAUCAUGUGACUCUGAAUUCCAAGUUCCCACCACACAUUGAACAAAACUCUUUUUUUUUUUUUUUUUUUUUUUUUUGCGAUGAGGUUUUGCUCUGUUGCCCAGGCUGGAGUACAAUGGUAUGAUCAUAGCUAACUGCAAGCUUGAACACCCGGGCUCAAGUGAUCCUUUCACCUCAGCCUCCCAAGUAGCUGUAACUACAGGCAUGCACCACUGCACUCAAUUACUUUUUUUUUGUUUUUGUAGAGACAUGGUCUCACUAUGUUGCCCAGGCUGGUCUUGAACUCCUGGGCUCAAGAUCCUCCAGCCUCAGCCUCCCAAAGUGUUGAGAUUAUAGGCAUGAGCCACUGCGCCCAACCUGAACAAAAUUCUAUUGUGCUACUCUAUGCCGGGUGCAGGAAACACAGAAAUAAAUAAAACAGCACAGUCCCUGCCCUUGUGGAGCUUACAGUCUAGUGGCAGGUUCUGAAAAGAUGCUUGGCACAAUAAAUAAUACCAUUACAGCUCUGCAAUCUGCAUGGGAGUUCUGAGAACGAAUUCCUCCAGAGCUACCCACCUUUGAACUUUGUUCCCACACAUUAAGAAGUCUUAGCUACAAAAUAAAAUUGCUUCAGUGUUUGAAUGUGGACAAUCCUCUGAAAGAACACACUAGGUCAGGGCAAUCUAUGGACCAGGUGUAGUUUGCUAGGUCCUAAUGCUAACUCUGGGCAGAUAUUUCUGUUCCGCAGUGAGGAACCUAGAACUGAAAUAGCCCGUAAUUGAGGAGUGGGGCUUCUGGUGAAGGUUCUGGUGUAGUUACAACCCUGCAGAAGCCUCAUGGAAACUCCACCUCACUGAUGAUUAACUGGCCACAUAUCAUUUCCAUUAUCUUCCUGGGAAACAGGAUGACAAACAAGCAAAAACAACCCAGUCAUGAUUUCCUUCACUGUCUGAAUAGUACCUGCUUCUAUUUAGCAAAAGAAAAAAAUCAUUUUUAAUUAAAUUUCCCUCAAAAUCCACAUGGGUUUAGAUUAGAGGGAGGUGUUAAACAAAAAAAGGGAAAGUUUUGCCAAAAAGAUUUUAAAGGGGUUCUCUAGAGAGUUAGCGAAAUGCAGACUGCUAAGCUCCCCUACCCCCAAGUCAAUUCCAGUUUGUUUUGCAUUUACACUGGAAUUCGUGGUGACAUUUCCUUCUAUUGAAACAAGACACACUAGUCACAUUGGGCUUUCCUGGUUCCAUAUUGGACAAGAAAAGGCCUAAACUUUGUGCAUAAGACUUCUUUCCAGCUUAUUUCAACAAUCUUUAUUAUGAGCAAGGCAAGUGCUGGACACUUAGAUUACUGAGAUGAGUAAGUUAUGAUCCUUGCCGUCCAGUGCCUGCACCUCACAAAGAGACCAAGUCAAGUUCCAUUAAAAACAAAGGGCCCUGUCUGACAAUGGCUACACAUGAGCCAUUCUACCUGGGCUUCAAGCAAGUAUGGACAUAAAUUAAGACCAACCAGAUGAGAAAAGCAAAGGCUGUUUAUUCAGAGCUUGCCAUAACAAGGGAGUCAGCUGCCAUCAUUUACAUUUUGGCAGAGACUCAAAAGAGGGCAGGAGAGUGAGAAAGAUUUAGAGUGGAAAAAAGGGAGAGUCCAUUCCCACUUCCUUAUGCUGACAGGCUCCAAUCAGGCCAUACCUGGGGCUGUGCCUGAGGAAGCUGUAGGUGAGCUAACCAGAAGCCUGGCAUUCUAUGGGAUUGGUUAGGGGGCAUAGUUAGCUUUCUCUGAUUGGUCCAAGUUGGAAGUCAGGAUAAAAAUUAGGGAAGCUGCCAAUUAUUAAUCACAUCCUGGCCAUUCGGGGCUGAUUGUUAUAGAAGUUAUUGUUUAGCUUCUUGGAUCAUGACUAAAGAUAACAAUCUGGUUUCCUGCAAGUCUGACUUCUAGCAGGCUGGCUACCUGGGCUUUUCAUUGUAGAUAAGAGGAUUGGUUUUUUAGGCAGGUUGCUGCAGGCUGUGGGUCAGAGUUCUAUUUUUAUGUGGGGUCCAGCCGUCAUCCAUUUGUAUAUUCAGCUCUCACAAGUCUAGGGUUCACUUCUGUCCUGGCCCCAGGACUCCAUUUGGCAUUGGCUCCCCUUCGCAGUGCAAGCAUGAGAGGUUCCCACCUGGGCCUCCCUGGUGUCUCCUGACACGCUGAGCUUGCCCCUGACUGACUCCCUCCGAGAAUGGCUCUUUUUUGCAUCAUUGUCCUUAUUCCACUCUGUGUAACAUAAGAAGAAUAAGCCUUAUCCACAAAGAAACAGCAAAUUAUCAUCUAUACAACAGCAAAUCCUUGAGUCAUUCAAAACCCUAUGCCAAGGACCUGGUUUAUUUCUAAUGGUUUCAAGCAUCUGUGGGCAUAAGCAUCCAUUUGCAAGCAUAAUAGCAACACUAUGGCAAAAUAGAAAAUGUAAACAUUACUGAAUAAAAAGGCACUUACAGAACAACAAUGUACAGCAUUCCAUUUUAAAUAAUAUGUGUAUACAUAGAAAAAUAUAGAGAAUAGACAAAAAUCUCAGUUAAGUUCUCUCUCAGUUAUAGAAUUAAAGGUGUUUUAUUUGUUUGAGUUCCUACAUUUUUUUUACUAUCAGUGUGCAUUUCUUAGGAAAUAAUAAAAAUUUUCAUUUAUUGAAAGUCUAUAGCAUGUUAAAAAAAAAACAGGACCUUCUCAUAGCAAAACAUCUGACUCGUUAAUUCAGUAAUAGCUGCCACCUACCAUUCUCCACUUCUAUAGUUAUUAUCCUCUUAAUAACUACAGCAAACCUAUGAAGUGGGUGUUUCUGUCCAUCUUAUAGAUGAGGAAACCAAAGUGCAAAAAGUUUUUUAAAGGACUGGGCCAAGAGCAAAAAGCCUGAAACCCGCAGCCUAAAGUGAGAAUGUACGUCCCUGUUUUCCUGCUUGAAUGUUGCCUUUUCCUAAACCACCCAUGGCCCCACCCGACCCCAUCCUAUGCUUAUAAAGACCCCAGACUCAGCCAGCAGAGAGAAGCAGCUGGACAAUGGAACGACUGCAGCUGGACAUCAGAGAGAAGUAGCUUGACUUCAGAGGGACAGCUUGACGGUGUAACUUCAGAGAAGAAUCCAGCCCUGCGAGGGGUGGAUUGCAGCUGAUCCCAGUGAGUGGAGCUUGUUCCCGCCAGUACCGAAACGGUCAGCCAGUUCCAGCACUUGUGCACUCCAGUUCCCUCCUCAUUUGCUUGCAUGCUCCCUUCCUUGAGGAGCUGAAAGCGGGCAGGCUGAGUAGACAAGGCACUCCCUUUCUGAGUCCCACAAACGGGUCAGGGAAAUAUCCUGCUUCAUAUGGAGGUUCUUCAAAAAAUGAAAAAUAGAACUACUAUAUGAUCCAGCAAUCCCACUUCUGGAUAUUUAUCCAAAGGAAUUGAAAUCAGAAUCUUGAAGAGCUAUUAGCACUCUCAUUCUCAUUGCAGCAUUAGUCACAAUAGCCAAAAUAUGGAAUCAACCUAAAUAUCUACUGACAAAUGAGUGGAUAAAGAAAAUGUGAUAUAUACAUAUAAUGGAAUGGUAUUCAGCCUAAAAAAAAAAAAAAAAAAAAAAAAAAAAAGGUAAUUCUGCCCUUGGGACAACAUGGAUAGACCUAAAGGACAUUAUGAUAAAUGACAUAGCCAAACACAGACAAAUACUGUAUGAUCUCACUUUUAUGUGGAAUGUGAAAUAUUCAAACUUACAGAAGCAGAGAGUAAAGUAGUGGUUGCCAAGAGCCAGAGAGUGGGGGGAAAUGGGGAAGGGAUGGUCAGAGCGUACAAAAUUUCAGUUAUGCAAUAAGUUUGGAGAUUACUAUACAACAUAGUACCUAUGGCUAACAAUGCUGUAUCAUAUACUUAAAACUUUCUAAGAGGCUAGAUCCUAUGUUAGGCAUUCUUACCAAAAGAUAAUGAUGAUAAACAUAAAGGGACAGGAGAAGACUUUGGGAGGUGAUGAAUAUGUCCAUGGCCAUGAUGGUGAGGAUGAUUUCAUGAGUGUAUACUUAUGCCCAGGCUUAUCGAAUUGUACACAUUAAAUAUAUACAGCUUUUUAAAAAAUUUUUAUUAUUUGAGAUGGGGCCUCGCUAUGUUGCCCAGGCUGGUCUUAAACUCCUGGCCUCAAGUGAUCUUCCCACCUCGGCCUCCCAGAGUGCUAGGACUACAAGCUUUUCACAUGUCAAUUAUACCUCAAUAAAGUGUUUUCUUUCAAAUGAAUGCUAAUCGGACUCUUGUUCUUUCCUCCCCUGAAACAAUUAAUUUUCAGAUUAUCUGCUGCUUAAUUUGGCUAUUUUGAUUCUACAUUUUUGAAUGUGAAAAAGGAGUGGAUAUUCAUGGAAGAGAUCUGGUGUGGGAAUUAUCAUGCAGAACUUGAAGCAGUAUAAUUUAAUUGUGUAAAAUGACCCAAGAGGAAAACACUAAGACUCAACUUCAGAAUUUGUGAACCCUGUUGUAAGGUUUUUGGAAACUAAAAAUGUCACACCAUCUUAGAUACCAGAUCUAUACUAGGAAACUGAAAUUUAAAACUGUGCAAUUAUAUAGAGUAUUCAGCACACAUCCCCAGGGGUCCCUUUAAUUUGCAUAAACUAAAUAAAAGAGAUAAAUGUUUGCAUGGAGCUGGGGAAGGUUAGAAUCUUGAAUCAUCUGAGUAAUUUACUAAAAACCUCACCAUAAACUUUGCUUACUUUCUUCACCCAAAAUCAAGAGACCUGAAAGUAAUGAAAGAAUGAAGAGGGUUUAUAUAUUUUUUAUGUUUAUGAGACAGCUGCGUCUUUUACUGAAGAAAAUGUCACUGUCAGGGUUAAAGAAUAAUUUUCAUCAAAAACUCUCUUUUGUUGAUUGCUUAUAAAUAUACGGUCUUUUUUUUUUUAAAAAAAAAAAAAAGGCUCUAGCUUCCUUUUGGUCUUGAAUGUCUCCGACUCUCAGACUUGGUCUCUGCUCCCCAAGAUAAAUUACUUUGCAGCAACUGAACAAAAUAGUCUUCAGCAAAAAUGCUAUUUUUCACAUUCAAUGAAAAGCAUCUCUACCCUUAGUGUUCCUCCAAGAUGUCUAAGUCCAGGACUUCAGACUUGGCAAAUGUUUUUAGAAGCACCUAUGAAGAGAAACAGAGCCAAACCUGACCCCUCUAGCUGAGUGUUUUAUUUAAAACGCAAAGGUUUUCAUCUACAGAUAAACUAAGUGCUGUAAUAGGAGUAUUUCUGCUCAGUGUUGAAGUCUACCAGAAACAAAAUAGGCUACCAGGUAAAUUGAACUCACUAAAGUUUCCUCCAGACAAUAAAAGCCAGUUAAGUAAGACAAUUGGAAUAAUUCAUGCCUCCAUAAAGCAAAAGGGGCAAUAUGAAAUGUGAUUCUUAGAUUGGAAAAAGAAGUAUACAAGAGUCAGAAACAUCCUUCCAAAAUAAAAGUGUGGGUGGAGAUUAAUUAAAUGUUAGAAGUUGCUCUGAUAUGUUUUAGUCCACAAAAAAGAAUUCUUUCCUGCCAGGACUAAGUGUCAGGUAGCAACCUCAAGUCUAGCCACUUUCAAACAAACACACAGGUAUGGCAGCAAUUCAAAGCAGUCAGCUGUGAGUUACAUCCAGCUGACUUCAUCUUGGACCCCGUCUUCUGCAUUCGUUCCUUAUCCAGCAUACAGCCCGCGGUGUGAGUCUGUCUGCCACGGAGUUGGCAGACAUACCUGGCACUUCUUUUGUCUCCACUUUCAGCUUAGAGUUUGCAAAAAAGCCUUUCUUCUCCAGCUCUUCUUUGUCUUUAUCUCUGGUAUUUGACAUCCCUCAAAUCCUUAUGAUCUACUGUUAUACCCAUCCCUAUAUACACUUGGUUAUAUUCUUUUAAGAAGAUAACUUGAAAAUAUAUAAAUCAUAAAUUGAUGAGUUAUAAAGAGAACCUGACACAUUACAACUAUAGUGAAAGAUUUUAAUGUUCCCAAAACAAGUGAGGAGGAAAUAAGUAAAGAUAUAAAAGAUUCAAACAAUAGAAUAAACAAGCUCAAUAUAAGAACGUGUAUCACAUACAGAAUGUCAUUCAUUUUAACUACACACAAAACAAUUUUUAAAAUAUCUUUGAAGUAAAUUAAAGUGGUCUCAACAAAUGCCAAACAAAUGACAUCAUAUAGACCACAGUCUCCAAGAAAAUAAGGAAUCAAUUAAAAUUUUUAAUUCGUAUAUUUAAAAACUAAAAAAUACUUCUAGAUAAUUCAAGGGUCAAAGAAGAAUUGUAAUAAGAAAUAUAAAAUAUUUAUAAUUAAACAAUGGAAGCAUUUGUAUUCAUAUGCAGCUAAACAGGAAAAGGUAUAGACUUAAUAUCAGAUUAGGAACAGAAAUUUGUAAAUUAUUAAUUACUACAUUUAACUCAAAACAUUAUUUUAAAAACUACAGAGUAAGAGCUGUGUGUGUUGGCUAACACCUGUAAUCCCAGCACUUUGGGAAGCCAAGGUGGGCAGAUCACUUAACCCCUGGAGUUUGAGACCAGCCUGGGCAACAUGGCAAAAGCUCAUCUCUACAAAACAUACAAAAAUUAGCAAGGCACGGUGAUGCACACCUGUAAUCCCAGUUACUCUGGAGGCUGAGGUGGGAGGAUCAUCUGAGCCCAAGGAGGUCAAGGCUGCAGUGAGCUGUAAUUGCACCACUGCACUCCAGCCUGGGUGAUAGAAUGAGACCCUGUCUCAAAAAAAAAAAAAAAAAAAAGAAAGAAAGAAACUCAGAGGAGGGAAAAGGAAUAAAAUGUGGUAAAAGAGGAAAUUAAUUAAACAGAAGAGAAAGAAAAGACAGUAUCAACAAAAUUGCUCUUUCUUUGAAUAGAUAAGUCUUUGGUAAAAGAGAGUAGAAGAAAGAGAGAGUGUGUGUGCAAAAUAAACAAUAUUAGAAAUGAAGAGAGACUAAGUAUAGAUAUAGUAAAUGUUUUAGUCUAUUCAGGCUGCUGUGACAAAAUACCAUAAACUGGGCAAUUUAUAAACAAAAAUUUGUUGCUUACAGUUCUGGAGACUGGGAAGUCCAGCAUCAAGGUGCCUGCAGAUUUAGUGUCUGGUAAAGACUGCUUUCUGCUUUACAUAUGGCAUCUUCUUGCUGUGCCCUCAUAUGGUAGAAGGGCUAAGAAGCUCCCUUCCAUCUCUUUUAUAAGAGCACUAAUUCCAUUCAGGAGGAUUCUGCCCUAGUGACCUAAUCACCUCCUAAAGGCCCCACUUCUUAUUCUAUAGCACUGUGGAUUUGGUUUCAACAUAGGAGUUUUGGACACAAACAUUCACAUUGUAGCAGUAAAUAUUUGGCAAACUGUAAGAGAAUACCAUUAACAAACUUGCCAGUAAAUAUGUAAGAACUUAAAGAUCAUGGAAAGUUUCCUGGAAAAAUAUUACAAUUUCCCAAAACUAACUCAAGAAGAAGUAGAAAACCUAAAGGGAAAGUAACUCAGUAAUUUAAGAAAGAAAGAAACAGACAAAAAAAUCACCUUGCCCAUAAAGAAGCACCAAAGCAUGAAGACCAGACAGGCUUAUAGGCAUAUUUUACCAGAACUUUAAGAAUUAAAUAGCCUUUUUCUUUUUCAAACUAUUGCAGAGACCAAAAGAUAGGAAAGUUCUCUACUUCCUUUCAUGAGGCCAGCAAAAUUUUAAUAUCAAAACUGAACAAAAAACAGCAACAGAAAGUGAAAUUAUAAGCUCAAUCACUUGUAUAAGCAUAGAUGGUAAAAUCUUACAUAUAAUAUUAGCAGUCAAGCAAGUUUUAAACAGGAGUGUAAGGAUAAUUUAAUAGAUGUAAAACCUAUAAAUGUAAAUACUGUAUUUAUACAGAAAAAAUCUCAAAUAAUACCAUAUUAUGUGAUAAAAAGCUCAACAUCCUCUUAUAAUACAGAGUUUUAACCAACUAGGAAGAGUAAAGAAACUUCUUUUAACUAGGAAAAGUAUAUAUAUAUAAAGUAAACCUCCUACUUUGCUAUCAA
rnacentral:lncRNA from 1 species